ACCCGGAUGUCAAGUCAUCUCGGAGUUCACGCCUCAAUAAAAUGGGAUCGAGUAAUUAUUAAAACGUUAAAAAUCCGGGAUAAAUUGGUGUCAAAUGAUGCUAAAACGCCACAAAAAUGUACAAGGUUUCUACUUAAUCCCAAAGAGAAGAAGCGCUAUCUGGCUAUUUGGAGGAGAAUAUUCGUUUAAAAUGCUAUUCACUUUGUGCUAGCUAGCUUCAUGGGACUGUCACACUCGGUAAACUACUCACAAGGUAGGUACCGUGCACUGGUAAUUCCUGCCACUGGGGGCGCUAGAAACAACUGGUCGCUACCAUUUACCAGGACCUGGUUUUUGUCAUUGCUACUUUGACGAAAAAUGGAAAAGAGUUUGACGUGGCGGCUGGUGGCAUGACUAUAAGAUGCGGGGACGGCAGGUGGCGUGUAGGUUAAAUGUCAUUUUAAAACUUGGCAGUAGACAAAGCAAGACUUCCAUAUCACGUUACGUUCUCCUGGAAACAUAUCAGUAGUUAUGAUGGCGGAAAGUGGGAUCAAGCGUCCGCUCGACUUGAAAAUUGAUCUUGAGAAACCUCAUCAAUCACAGGUGUGUGUGUUACAGAGUGCCUCUUCAGUGUGUAGACCAAUACAGAUGUCCCCUCCAUUGGCAGGGGGCGGGUUGUCACAUGACCUUGUCCGCUGAAAGUGGCCUCCGCCGCAGCUCACAGAGCAUUGGGACCAGG